rnacentral:hammerhead_ribozyme from 1 species
AUUCAGCUGCCGAGUCCCGAAUAGGACGAAAUGCGCAUCCUGGAU